rnacentral:rRNA from 1 species
GCCGUUUGCGGCAUGCUACCAUGCAGUCGAACGCGAAAGGGGCUUCGGCCCUGAGUAGAGUGGCGAACGGGUGAGUAACACGUGGGUGACCUACCCUCGAGUGGGGGAUAACAUCCCGAAAGGGGUGCUAAUACCGCAUGACAUCCUGUCUUUGAACAGAUGGACAUUAAAGCCGGGGAUCGCAAGACCUGGCGCUCGAGGAGGGGCUCGCGUCCGAUUAGCUAGUUGGUGGGGUAAUGGCCUACCAAGGCGACGAUCGGUAGCCGGCCUGAGAGGGCGGACGGCCACACUGGGACUGAGACACGGCCCAGACUCCUACGGGAGGCAGCAGUGGGGAAUUGUUCGCAAUGGGCGCAAGCCUGACGACGCAACGCCGCGUGGAGGACGAAGAUCUUCGGGUCGUAAACUCCUUUCGAUCGGGACGAAUGGCUGGUGGUCUAACACACCAUCAGAGUGACGGUACCGAGAGAAGAAGCCCCGGCUAACUCCGUGCCAGCAGCCGCGGUAAUACGGGGGGGGCAAGCGUUGUUCGGAAUUACUGGGCGUAAAGGGCGCGUAGGCGGCCUACUAAGUCGGACGUGAAAUCCCUCGGCUCAACCGAGGAACUGCGUCCGAUACUGGCAGGCUGGAAUCCGGGAGAGGGAUGUGGAAUUCCAGGUGUAGCGGUGAAAUGCGUAGAUAUCUGGAGGAACACCGGUGGCGAAGGCGGCAUCCUGGACCGGUAUUGACGCUGAGGCGCGAAAGCUAGGGGAGCAAACGGGAUUAGAUACCCCGGUAGUCCUAGCCCUAAACGAUGAGUGCUUGGUGUGGCGGGUAUCGAUCCCUGCCGUGCCGAAGCUAACGCACUAAGCACUCCGCCUGGGGAGUACGGUCGCAAGGCUGAACUCAAAGGAAUUGACGGGGGCCCGCACAAGCGGUGGAGCAUGUGGUUCAAUUCGACGCAACGCGAGGAACCUUACCCAGGCUCGAACGGCGAGUGACGUCCGGCGAAAGUCGGUUUCCGCAAGGACACUUG